UGGGGAAUAUUGCACAAUGGGCGCAAGCCUGAUGCAGCCAUGCCGCGUGUGUGAAGAAGGCCUUCGGGUUGUAAAGCACUUUCAGCGGGGAGGAAGGCGAUAAGGUUAAUAACCUUGUCGAUUGACGUUACCCGCAGAAGAAGCACCGGCUAACUCCGUGCCAGCAGCCGCGGUAAUACGGAGGGUGCAAGCGUUAAUCGGAAUUACUGGGCGUAAAGCGCACGCAGGCGGUCUGUCAAGUCGGUUGUGAAAUCCCCGGGCUUAACCUGGGAACUGCAUUCGAAACUGGCAGGCUAGAGUCUUGUAGGUGGAAGUAGGAUUGCAGGUGUAGCGGUGAAAUACGUAGAGAUCAGGAGGAAUACCGGUGGCGAAGGCGACCCCCUAGACAAAGACUGACGCACAGGUGCGAAAGCGUGGGGAGCAAACAGG
rnacentral:rRNA from 1 species